GGACGAACGCUGGCGGCGUGCCUAAUACAUGCAAGUCGAACGAACUCUGGUAUUGAUUGGUGCUUGCAUCAUGAUUUACAUUUGAGUGAGUGGCGAACUGGUGAGUAACACGUGGGAAACCUGCCCAGAAGCGGGGGAUAACACCUGGAAACAGAUGCUAAUACCGCAUAACAACUUGGACCGCAUGGUCCGAGUUUGAAAGAUGGCUUCGGCUAUCACUUUUGGAUGGUCCCGCGGCGUAUUAGCUAGAUGGUGGGGUAACGGCUCACCAUGGCAAUGAUACGUAGCCGACCUGAGAGGGUAAUCGGCCACAUUGGGACUGAGACACGGCCCAAACUCCUACGGGAGGCAGCAGUAGGGAAUCUUCCACAAUGGACGAAAGUCUGAUGGAGCAACGCCGCGUGAGUGAAGAAGGGUUUCGGCUCGUAAAACUCUGUUGUUAAAGAAGAACAUAUCUGAGAGUAACUGUUCAGGUAUUGACGGUAUUUAACCAGAAAGCCACGGCUAACUACGUGCCAGCAGCCGCGGUAAUACGUAGGUGGCAAGCGUUGUCCGGAUUUAUUGGGCGUAAAGCGAGCGCAGGCGGUUUUUUAAGUCUGAUGUGAAAGCCUUCGGCUCAACCGAAGAAGUGCAUCGGAAACUGGGAAACUUGAGUGCAGAAGAGGACAGUGGACUCCAUGUGUAGCGGUGAAUGCGUAGAUAUAUGGAAGAACACCAGUGGCGAAGGGCGGCUGUCUGGUCUGUAACUGACGCUGAGGCUCGAAAGUAUGGGUAGCAAACAGGAUUAGAUACCCUGGUAGUCCAUACCGUAAACGAUGAAUGCUAAGUGUUGGAGGGUUUCCGCCCUUCAGUGCUGCAGCUAACGCAUUAAGCAUUCCGCCUGGGGAGUACGGCCGCAAGGCUGAAACUCAAAGGAAUUGACGGGGGCCCGCACAAGCGGUGGAGCAUGUGGUUUAAUUCGAAGCUACGCGAAGAACCUUACCAGGUCUUGACAUACUAUGCAAAUCUAAGAGAUUAGACGUUCCCUUCGGGGACAUGGAUACAGGUGGUGCAUGGUUGUCGUCAGCUCGUGUCGUGAGAUGUUGGGUUAAGUCCCGCAACGAGCGCAACCCUUAUUAUCAGUUGCCAGCAUUAAGUUGGGCACUCUGGUGAGACUGCCGGUGACAAACCGGAGGAAGGUGGGGAUGACGUCAAAUCAUCAUGCCCCUUAUGACCUGGGCUACACACGUGCUACAAUGGAUGGUACAACGAGUUGCGAACUCGCGAGAGUAAGCUAAUCUCUUAAAGCCAUUCUCAGUUCGGAUUGUAGGCUGCAACUCGCCUACAUGAAGUCGGAAUCGCUAGUAAUCGCGGAUCAGCAUGCCGCGGUGAAUACGUUCCCGGGCCUUG
rnacentral:rRNA from 1 species